rnacentral:rRNA from 1 species
GAUGAACGCUGACAGAAUGCUUAACACAUGCAAGUCAACUUGAAUUUGGGUUUUUAACUUAGGUUUGGGUGGCGGACGGGUGAGUAACGCGUAAAGAACUUGCCUCACAGCUAGGGACAACAUUUGGAAACGAAUGCUAAUACCUAAUAUUAUGAUAAUAGGGCAUCCUAUAAUUAUGAAAGCUAUAAGCGCUGUGAGAGAGCUUUGCGUCCCAUUAGCUAGUUGGAGAGGUAACGGCUCACCAAGGCGAUGAUGGGUAGCCGGCCUGAGAGGGUGAUCGGCCACAAGGGGACUGAGACACGGCCCUUACCCCUACGGGGGGAAGCAGUGGGGAAUAUUGGAAAAGGGACCGGGAGGUUGAUCCAGAAAUUUGGGGUGCACGAUGAAUUUUUUCGGAAUGAAAAGUGCUUUCAGUUGGGAAGAAACAAAGGCCGGAACCAACAAAAAAAGUGACGGCUAAAUACGG